rnacentral:rRNA from 1 species
AUACGGCCCAGACUCCUACGGGAGGCAGCAGUGGGGAAUAUUGCACAAUGGGCGCAAGCCUGAUGCAGCGACGCCGCGUGGGGGAUGAAGGCCUUCGGGUUGUAAACUCCUUUCGCUAGGGACGAAGCUUUUUUGUGACGGUACCUAGAUAAGAAGCACCGGCUAACUACGUGCCAGCAGCCGCGGUAAUACGUAGGGUGCGAGCGUUGUCCGGAAUUACUGGGCGUAAAGGGCUCGUAGGUGGUUUGUCGCGUCGUCUGUGAAAUUCUGGGGCUUAACUCCGGGCGUGCAGGCGAUACGGGCAUAACUUGAGUGCUGUAGGGGUAACUGGAAUUCCUGGUGUAGCGGUGAAAUGCGCAGAUAUCAGGAGGAACACCGAUGGCGAAGGCAGGUUACUGGGCAGUUACUGACGCUGAGGAGCGAAAGCAUGGGUAGCGAACAGGAUUAGAUACCCUGGUAGUCCAUGCCGUAAACGGUGGGCGCUAGGUGUGAGGGUCUUUCUACGACUUUCGUGCCGUAGCUAACGCAUUAAGCGCCCCGCCUGGGGAGUACGGCCGCAAGGCUAAAACUCAAAGGAAUUGACGGGGGCCCGCACAAGCGGCGGAGCAUGUGGAUUAAUUCGAUGCAACGCGAAGAACCUUACCUGGGCUUGACAUACACCAGAUUGGGCUAGAGAUAGUUCGUCCCUUUGUGGUUGGUGUACAGGUGGUGCAUGGUUGUCGUCAGCUCGUGUCGUGAGAUGUUGGGUUAAGUCCCGCAACGAGCGCAACCCUUGUCUUAUGUUGCCAGCAUUUGGUUGGGGACUCAUGAGAGACUGCCGGGGUUAACUCGGAGGAAGGUGGGGAUGACGUCAAAUCAUCAUGCCCCUUAUGUCCAGGGCUUCACACAUGCUACAAUGGUCGGUACAACGCGUUGCGACACUGUGAGGUGGAGCGAAUCGCUGAAAGCCGGCCUUAGUUCGGAUUGGGGUCUGCAACUCGACCCCAUGAAGUCGGAGUCGCUAGUAAUCGCAGAUCAGCAAUGCUGCGGUGAAUACGUUCCCGGGCCUUGUACACACCGCCCGUCACGUCAUGAAAGUUGGUAACACCCGAAGCCGGUGGCCUAAACGUGUUAGGGAGCCGUCGAAGGUGGGAUCGGCGAUUGGGACGAAGUCGUAACAAGGUACCCGUACCGGAAGGUGCGGGUG